rfam:Candidatus Aminicenantes bacterium RBG_16_66_30 RBG_16_scaffold_6920, whole genome shotgun sequence.
UUGACCUCCCGGUCUUUUUGGAUUAGAAUCGCCCCAGGCUUUUUCGAAGGGAAGUCCGUUAGAUGCGGACACAGCCCCCGCUACUGUAACCGGGGACGAAUCCCGAGGAUGCCACGGCCGCGAGGCCGGAAGGCUCGGGAGGAGAGCGAUCCGGGAGUCAGGAAACCUUCAGGGAGCCUCGGUCGCGC